AAAACUUACUGUGCUCAAGGCACAGAACGGGGUAGUUUUAUACACAUUCUCCCAUUUGGAUUUUUCAAAGACAACAUCUAAUCAUCCCCAGAGAAAUUUCAGCUGAGAAGACAGGAUGAUGAAGUGCCCUGGGGGCCAGAGUCCAGACAAGUAUUUUGGCACCUCCAAGGACUCGCAGAACACAGAGAGGAAAAGAGAGACCCUGUUAUCUUUCCGCAGGGGUGGCCGUUCAAACUCUCAGAGAUGGAAGUUAAGAUUUCCUUUGGUAUAAGUGGCAGUUUGACUGGCUGCAAGGAGAGCCUCAGUUUGUUUAAUUUGGAGUAAAAUUUUAUGAGUUAAUCUCUAGUGAGGGAAAGCAGCAGUAAACACAGAACAUACUGGUCAUUAUUCUAAGUAUUUCUACAUUCUUUCUCAUGCAUGAAAGGAGAAAAAAAGUCACAAAAAUGAGGAGGCAUGGUG
rnacentral:lncRNA from 1 species